GCUGGGUGGGCUGGGCCAAUGUGUGACCGGCUAUUAGUCGCUAUCAGCCCGGCUAUCAGUUCCCCUUCAGUGAACCCAGCAGAGAUGGGCUAAAACUAAAGGCACACAUCUCCAGGACCCUGGAUCCUUAGUUACACUCAUUGAAAAAUGCUUGUUUCUUUAAGCUUUGACCCCCUGAGCUUUACGACCAAAUAGAAGUUACAAAUUGUUCAAGUCCAGAUGGCCUCACUCUGGGCUCCCACUAAAGUUGUGGGCGAUCCCAGGACCUUGAAGUCCUUUUACAGAGAAACUAGUGCCCAGACAAUAUCAAGAAACCGAGGCUUCCCAGGCCCAGCUCCUCGGCUCCCUGACGUCAGAGUCCACCUUCCCCCGUGGAGACAAACAGCCAAGGACGCUCAUCUGAGAAACCCUCUUGUUUCCUCUGUCAUCCCCCAGGACUCCAUGAGGGAGAAGUACUUUCCUUGAUGAAUAGGGUGGGAACUUGAGGCCUAGGGAAGAUAAGCACCUGCCCCUCAGCACAGCUAACAAGGGGCACGGCCAGGAUUUGAACCCGGGACUAAGCCUAAACCCCGUGCCCUGUGCCCUUUGCACUGUACCAGAUUCCUCUCAAUCAUGAAGAAAACUUCCUUAUCCUCAGGGCUCAGGAAGCCCUCUUGCACCCGUUGUCUCAUUUGAUCCUCAAAACGGGCAAUUAACAGAUGAAGAACUGAGAUUUGAUGAGGCUAUAAUUCAAGAUCACACAGUUGGGAGGUAGGGUUGCUGGUACUGAAACUCUGGUCUUUAGAUUCCCAGCCCUGAGCUGUUUCUGUUACACUAAUACCCAUUACACCCAAAUCUAGUGAUGGAAAACCACCGUCAUUAUUGAUCAUCACUCCGCAGUUCUGGCGGGAGACUGGGCUCAGCCAGGCGGUUCUUGUUCGGGGUCUCGCACGGCUGCAGUCAGAUGGCGGCCAGGACCAGAGUCACCCUAAGAGGUGCUGGCUCAAACAUCCAGGGCUGGAGCCUCCGGGGCUCCUCACAUGUCUCUCCCUCCAUGUUCUCUCUCCACGAGGUCUCAGUGUCUGACAGCUUCA
rnacentral:lncRNA from 1 species